rnacentral:rRNA from 1 species
AUUGAACGCUGGCGGCAUGCUUUACACAUGCAAGUCGAACGGUAACAGCACUUCGGUGGCUGACGAGUGGCGAACGGGUGAGUAAUACAUCGGAACGUGCCUCGUAGUGGGGGAUAACUACUCGAAAGAGUAGCUAAUACCGCAUGAGAUCUAAGGAUGAAAGCAGUGGACCUUCGGGCCUUGCGCUACUAGAGCGGCUGAUGGCAGAUUAGGUAGUUGGUGGGAUAAAAGCUUACCAAGCCGACGAUCUGUAGCUGGUCUGAGAGGACGACCAGUCACACGAGGACUGAGACACGGCCCAGACUCCUACGGGAGGCAGCAGUCGGGAAUUUUGGACAAUGGGGGAAAGCCUGAUCCAGCAAUGCCGAGUGCAGGAUGAAGGCCUUCGGGUUGUAAACUGAUUUUGUACGGAACGAAAAGCCCUCUUCUAAUACAGGAGGGUCAUGACGGUACCGUAAGAAUAAGCACCGGCUAACUACGUG